rnacentral:rRNA from 1 species
UACGUAGGGGGCAAGCGUUGUCCGGAAUCAUUGGGCGUAAGCGCGUGUAGGCGGUUCGAUAAGUCUGCUGUGAAAGUCCAGGGCUCAACCCUGGGAUGCCGGUGGAUACUGUCGAGCUAGAGUACGGAAGAGGCGAGUGGAAUUCCCGGUGUAGCGGUGAAAUGCGCAGAUAUCGGGGAGGAACACCAAUUGCGAAGGCAGCUCGCUGGGACGUCACUGACGCUGAGACGCGAAAGCGUGGGGAGCAAACAGG